rnacentral:lncRNA from 1 species
AAUGAGAAAACAACAAAGAGCGUAAUUUUGGAUGCUUUCCCUUCAAAUAAACUUUCGAUUUACUAGGAUGAAUAGAAAUUCUUCGUAGCAUAGAUUCUGCCAAUGUCACUUCAAGUUCAUGCUGUGGUUGUUGAAUAAUUUCCAAGAACUUCUCCUCUCUUGCUUUCUUCGUGCACAAGUCCCUCAAGAGAUCAUGCACUCGACAUGUCUCCACAUUUGUUCCUGUAUAGUCUCGCCUGCUAAGUUGAACCAAGCUCCGAUCUAUAAGCUCUUCUAGGAAUAUUUCGCCUAAAUCCUCCAUGAAGAAUUCUUCGUUUUCCGGAAUGAAACCUUCAGCGAUCCAUAAACGAAUGAGUUCUUUUUUCGGUAUCUCCCAAUCUUCUGGAUAAUGACUAAGAUACAAAAAGCAUGGUUUUAAAGGAUAAGGCAAGUCAUUGUAGCUUGAAACCAAAAUUCGGUUCACUGCACCAUAUUGACGAUCUUGGUGUGGGAGCUCAUUUAAGUGUCCAUGGAUGUUUUUAUGAACCAUCUCCCAUUGAGCCACUGACUGUUUUGUUGCCAGCAAGCAACCCAACACAACAAUUGCUAAAGGCAAGCCUCCACAUUUUUUCACCAUCUCUUUUCCAAGCUUCACAAAUUCUUCUGAGCAGCAUUGAGAACCCAUUUUGCUCCGUGGGAAUGCUUUCUUACACAAAAGAUUCCAACUUUCAUCAUCCGUAAGAACUGAGAGCUCCAUGGGAGUGUUGCAAGAAUCGGCUCGUGAAGCCACAUUCCUGUUGCGUGUUGUGAACAAUAUUUGGCUUCCCUUUCUUCCUCGUGGAAAAGCAGGUUUAAGAAUAUCCCAAUCCUCGCUUCUCCAAAUAUCAUCGAUGUUGGAAUAUUUUCAAAUAUUUAUAGUAUCCCAAUAAUUAUAAAUGAAUGAGUGUAAUUAAUCAAAAGAUAAAACUUUUGGUCAUUGGUCAAAAGUUAUAUCAUUUGAUUUUUUAAAAAAAGAAUUAUAACUAUUCAAAAAAUAUUAUUUGAAUAGUUACAAAAUUAAAUGAAUAAUUAUUAUUAUUUAUUUAUUCAUAAAGACACCUAUUGAAAGAUGUCUCUAUGAAGAGACAUGAAAAUUCCUAUAAAUAGGAAUGAGAUUUCAUUUGGAAAUCAUAUCAACAAAUUCUAAUAUUAUUUCUUCUCUUCCUUCAUUUUCUAAUAUUAUUAGAUUAUUCUAUAAAGUAUUGCUGCAGAAAUCCUUUGUAGAAAUUGAAUUUUUGUUAUACAUUACUCAGUGCAUAGUGGACUAUUCUCGUCAGUGCAAAACACAAAUAGUCAUUGGCUUCAUUGUAUCCUCGAGGUUAAUUUGCUUGGAACUCGUUUGCACACUGAAGAUAAGUGGGGGCGAAUAUAACCUUAAAGAUAGUGGCUUGAUACACGCCUUGGAGCCUGUCCUAUUUCUUCUUUUUCUUUUCGAGUUCCGAUCGUGUGUUCGAGUUUUUUCCUUACCGGAGUUUUGUACUAACAAUUUUAAGGUUAUAUUUCAUGAUGACUACCACAACACAUGAAAGUGGAACACUAAGGGAGUUGGCUUCCAACUUUGUUAAACUUGAUCGUUUUGAUGGUGGCAAUUUUCGACGAUGGCAGAAAAAGAUGCACUUUUUGUUAUCAACUUUGAAGAUUGCUUAUGUUUUGGAUACUCCAAGACCUGAAGAGAAUGAAAAUGAAUCUGUUGCUGCAACCCGAGAAAGACAAAAAUGGGACAAUGCUGAUUACAUGUGCAUGGGCCACAUAUUGAAUGGUUUAUCUGAUGGUUUGUUCGACACCUACCAAAACGACGUCACCGCUAAAGAAUUAUGGGACAAAUUGGAGGCAAGAUACAUGACCGAAGAUGUUACAAGUAAGAAAUUUCUUGUCAGUCGUUUCAAUAAUUAUCAAAUGGUUGAUGGUCGUUCUGUUAUGGAACAAUUUCGUGAUAUUGAAAAGAUGCUGAAUCAAUUUAAGCAAUAUGAUAUGAAAAUGAAUGAAAUGAUUGUGGUAUCCUCCAUAAUAGACAAACUUCCUCCAUCUUGGAAAGACUUUAAAAGAAGUCUAAAACAUAAGAAAGAGGAAAUAUCUCUUGAGGCUUUGGCAAAUCAUCUUCGUAUUGAAGAAGAGUAUCGAAAACAAGAUCAGAACCUAAAUUCUGAAAAUACCAAAGUACAUGUUACGGAGGAAGUACAGACUACUAAACCAUUCAAGAGAAAGUUCAAUCAGACUGAUAGGGCACCUAAGUUCAAAAAGAAACAAAAGGGCUCAUGCUAUCAUUGUGGAAAGCCGGGACAUUUCAAGAAUGAAUGUCGAUGUUUAAAGAAGAAAUCAUCUUCUAAGGCUGAUAAUAACGAAAAGUUCGUUGCAAUGAUAUCUGAAAUUAAUAUGGCACAAGAUGAUAAUACAUGGUGGAUUGAUACCGGAGCAACCAAACAUGUGUGCAAAGACAAAAGCAUGUUCACAAAGUUCACACAAUGUGAAAAUGACAAUGUCUUGUACAUGGGAAAUUCUUCCACCGCAACAAUUAAAGGCAAAGGGUCUGUUGAACUACAAUUCACUUCUGGAAAGGUUUUAACCUUAAAUGAUGUAUAUUAUGUACCAGAAGUUAGGAAAAAUUUAGUGUCUGGAAGUCUGUUGAAUAAGUUUGGUUUCAAACUUGUUUUUGAGGCAGAUAAGUUUAUUUUGUCUAAGGGAGGAAUUUUUGUGGGAAAAGGGUAUAUGUAUGAAAGCAUGUUCAAACUUAAUAUUAUUAAUAAGAAUAAAAAUACUAUUUCUGCUUAUAUGGUUGAAUCAUUUUGUUUGUGGCAUUAUAGAUUAGGUCAUUUGAAUUAUAGAAAAUUGAAUGACAUGCAUAAAUUAGAUUUAAUUCCUGUUUUUAAUAAUAAUAUUGAAAAAUGCAAUACCUGUAUGUUGACUAAAAUUACAAGAAAUCCUUUCCCUAAGGUUAAAAGGAAAACAAAAUUGCUUGAUUUGAUACAUAGUGAUUUAUGUGACUUGCAUAAUACUCCUACAUUAGGUGGAAAGAAAUAUUUUGUUACUUUUAUUGAUGAUUGUUCUAGAUAUUGUUAUGUAUAUUUAUUGCAUUCAAAAGAUGAAGCGCUUGAUAAAUUUAAAGUUUAUAAAUCUGAAGUUGAACUUUAGUGUGAAUCAUUUAUCAAGUGCUUAAGAUCGGAUAGAGGUGGAGAAUACUAUAAUCCAAGUUAUUUUGAACUCACUGGAAUUGUCCAUCAAGUUUUAGCCCCUUACACACCACAACAAAAUGGUGUAGCUAAAAGGAAAAAUAGAGUCUUGAUUGAAAUGGUAAAUUCAAUGUUAUCAUAUUCAGGUCUUGGACAGGGUUUUUGGGGAGAAGCUGUUCUAACAGCUUGUCAUAUAUUGAAUAGAGUUCCUAAUAAGGAAACUAAAAUAACCCCCUAUGAACAAUGGAAGAAAAGGAAACCAAACCUUAAUUAUUUAAAGGUUUGGGGUUGUAGAGCUAUUGUAAAAGUUCCAACACCUAAACGUAAAAAGUUAGGUGAAAGAGGAAUUGAAUGCAUAUUUAUAGGUUAUGCACAUAAUAGCAAGGCAUAUAGGUUCAUAGUAAUUGAACCAAAUGAUUCAAUUUCAAUUAAUACGGUUAUUGAAUCAAGAGAUGCUAAUUUUGAUGAAAAUAGAUUUAAUUCUAUAUCAAGACAAUUACAACCACAACAAUUGAUUCAUUCUUCAAAUGAGAAUGAGAUUCCAUUGAAACAAAUUGAUAAUAAUGAUGAAUCUUGUCAAGAAUUAAGAAGAAGUAAGAGGAUUAAAAAGGUCAAAGAUUUUGGACCAGAUUUCAUUAUGUUUCUUGUAGAAGGAAAAGGUGAAAGUAUAUGCAAUAAGAUACCUUAUUGUUAUAAUACCGAAUCUGAUCCUAUUACAUUUGAAGAAGCAGUGAAAUCUCAAGACUCUGCUUUUUGGAAAGAAGCAAUAAAUGAUGAAAUGGAUUCAAUAAUGGGAAAUCAAACUUGGAUCUUAGUUGAUCUUCCACCAGGUUCCAAACCAAUAGGUUGUAAAUGGAUCUUCAAAAAGAAAAUGAAGGUCGAUGGAACCAUUGAUAAAUUUAAAGCAAGGUUGGUAGCAAAAGGUUUUACACAAAGACAAGGUAUUGAUUACUUUGAUACCUAUGCUCCAGUAGCAGGAAUUGCUACAAUUAGACUAUUAAUAUCACUUACCUCUAUAUAUAAUUUGGUUGUUCACCAAAUGGAUGUUAAAACUGCAUUUUUAAAUGGUGAAUUGGAAGAGGAAGUGUACAUGGAGCAACCAGAAGGAUUUGUUGUUCCAGGACAAGAGCAUAAGGUAUGUAAGCUUGUUAAAUCUUUAUAUGGGCUUAAACAAGCACCAAAACAAUGGCACCAAAAGUUUGACAAGGUUGUUUUAGCUAAUGGCUAUAAAAUAAAUGAAUCCGAUAAGUGCAUAUAUAGUAAAUUUGAUAAUGGAAAGGGUGUUAUAAUUUGCUUAUAUGUAGAUGACAUGCUCAUUUUUGGCACGGAUUUGGAACAAAUAGAAAACACAAAGAAAUUCUUGUCAAACAACUUUGCUAUGAAGGAUAUGGGUGUAGCAGAUGUUAUUCUUGGGAUUAAAAUAACCCGAGAUGAAAGCACUAUAGCUUUAUCACAAUCACAUUACAUUGAAAAUGUGCUUAAAAAGUUUGAUCUUUUCAACUGUAUACCAGCAUCUACACCCAUGGAUCCUCAAUUAAAAUUAGUAUCUAAUGCUGGUAGGAAAAUUGAUCAAUUGAAAUAUGCAAGUCUAAUUGGUUGUCUUAUGUACAUAAUGACUUGUACAAGACCAGAUAUUGCAUAUGCUAUUGGAAAAUUGAGUAGAUACACAAAUAAUCCAAGUAGUUUGCAUUGGCAAGCUUUAAAUAGAGUACUUAGGUACUUAAAGAAAACUAUUAACUAUGGAUUGUGUUAUAAUGGAUAUCCUCCAGUUUUAGAAGGGUAUUCAGAUGCUAGUUGGAUUACAAGUUUGGAAGAUCAUGCAUCUACUAGUGGGUGGAUCUUCAUUCUUGGUGGAGGAGUCAUUUCUUGGGGUUCCAAGAAACAAACAUGUAUUACUGAUUCCACCAUGGCAGCAGAAUUUAUUGCAUUAGCCGCUGCAUCUAAAGAAGCAGAAUGGUUAAGAAAUUUACUUUAUGAUGUACCUUUAUGGCUUAAGCCAAUUUCACCUAUUUCUAUUCGUUGUGAUAGUGAGGCUACUCUAGCAAAGGCAUAUAGCCAAGUAUAUAAUGGAAAGUCUAGACAUAUUGGAUUAAGACAUAGUUAUGUCCGACAAUUAAUUUCUGAUGGAGUGAUCACUAUUAAUUAUGUGAGGUCAAGUGAAAAUUUGGCAGAUCCUUUGACAAAAAGUCUUGCUAGAGAUGCAGUAAAAAGGACCUCAAAAGGGAUGGGACUCAAGCCUAUUAAUUAGAGUCACCCAUGAUGGAAACUCGACUCAACGCUUGGUAUAACGUCAAGUCUUGAGUUCAAUGAGACAAAGUACAUCAUUAGUAUGUGACUGUUAGCACUAUAAAUAAAUCCAUCCUAAGAUUAAAGUGCUAGGUACCCGUAAUGAUAAGGGAAGGAUGAGUAAUGUACUCUUAAUGGACCCAUAACAUAAAUAUGUUAGAGUGUUAUAAUUACGGGAACACUUUUGAUGGGAUCUACCUAUGUGAGUGGAAGUGUGGCCGCUUCUAGGAGCUUAAGGGCUUGGCUCUGACAACACUCAUGAAAAGAGGACAUAGACACAUGGCUAUAAUAGUGUCCCUAGAUACUAUGCAUUGACUGAUGUUGAAAUUAUUGUGUGAGAUGUGUUCAGUUAAUCAAAUGGAAUAGUUGGUUCAAAGCUUAGUCUACCAUACAAUUUCGAUUAACUUUAACAUGUUUUCACUAAGUGAAGGUUCAAUCGUAAGACACCUUUAUUUAUGCAAAUUGAUUUCCAAGAAUAUCAAAAUCUAAAUAUUUUGAAAAUGGGGGGAGAUUGUUGGAAUAUUUUCAAAUAUUUAUAGUAUCCCAAUAACUAUAAAUGAAUGGGUGUAAUUAAUCAAAAGAUAAAACUUUUGGUCAUUGGUCAAAAGUUAUAUCAUUUGAUUUUUUAAAAAAGAAUUAUAACUAUUCAAAAAAUAUUAUUUGAAUAGUUACAAAAUUAAAAAAAUAAUAAUUAUUAUUUAUUUAUUCAUAAAGACACCUAUUGAAAGAUGUCUCUAUGAAGAGACAUGAAAAUUCCUAUAAAUAGGAAUGGGAUUUCAUUUGGAAAUCAUAUCAACAAAUUCUAAUAUUAUUUCUUCUCUUCCUUCAUUUUCUAAUAUUAUUAGAUUAUUCUAUAAAGUAUUGCUGCAGAAAUCCUUUGUAGAAAUUGAGUUUUUGUUAUACAUUACUCAGUGCAUAGUGGACUAUUCUCGUCAGUGCAAAACGCAAAUAGUCAUUGGCUUCAUUGUAUCCUCGAGGUUAAUUUGCUUGGAACUCGUUUGCACACUGAAGAUAAGUGGGGGCGAAUAUAACCUUAAAGAUAGUGGCUUGAUACAUGCCUUGGAGCCUGUCCUAUUUCUUCUUUUUCUUUUCGAGUUCCGAUCGUGUGUUCGAGUUUUUUCCUUACCGGAGUUUUGUACUAACAAUCGAGGACCACCAAAUACCGCUUUUCUUUCAAAGCAUCAAAAAGCGUUCUCAUCAGCUCAAUCUCGUCCAUUUUCUCAAUUUUCUCUCUUUCAUUAUUAGAAGGAGAGAGAACUUUCUUCAAGACACUAAGCAAAACUUCUCUCGGCUUACAUUGUUGAGAGAUAGAAAACCAAGCCAAGAAAUCAAAAUGGCGUCUCACAUCAACAUGAUUAUAUACUUUUCUGGCAAGAGUUGUCUUACCGAGGCCCCCCAUGCCGACUAUGGAAACCACGGCGUGGGGCCUAUCUUCUUCAGUCAUCAACAUGGUGAUGACAUCCUUGGUGCUAACCUCCAAGCGAACAACGUCCUCUUCCUCAACAUGGGAGAAUGCCCUUCUUAACUGUCGUUGCACGUUGAAAACUGAGCUAGAACCUUCUCCAUCACGGGAUAUCUCAUAAGCUGGAAGAUUCUUGGAAAUGUUUUGGAGCUUGGUCUGGAUUGCUUUGACCUGCACCCCGAUUUUGUGCAGAUGAUAAGGUUUGGUGCAAAUGGAGGUGAAUCUCUUGACGAUUCCUUGAAAGCCUCCUUGAUGUGCACGUUCAAGGAUGAAGGAGUCGAUAAGAUCUUCAGCAUCGUAAGCAAGAUCUCUGAUUUCGGAUACCCGAUUACGGAGACGCGUGUCUUGUUCCGCCUUCCCAUUAACGUCCUCCAAGAAACACUGCAUUCUCUUUAGUUCAGUGUUUAGGCUCUCAACUUCUUCCUUGACAUCUUUGAGGAAAACUGCUUCACGGAUGAGUAAUUCUGAAAUUCUUUCAACAGCCAAGGACACAAUAGCCUCUGCCAUUUCACUAGCUGAUGAAAAAAAAAAGUCUGAAUUUCUUUUUUUUUUUUUUUGGUGUGGAUGUCAAACAGAUUGAUAAUCAGUCUGUGUGUAUUUUCUGAUUCCCUUUUUUUUUUGUUAUUGUUCUAUCAAAAGUAAAUGAUAGUUAAAAUUGAACAAGAAGAAAGCAAAAGCAGAUUCUUCUUUCCUCUUUAGUUAAAUUCUUUGCUUAAGAAAAUGGGGAUUCUUUUUCUAGCUUUCACUACUCCUUGAUUCCUUGCUUAGCAAUGAAAUACCCCCAAAUUAAUUCCCAAAGCUUUACUAACCUGAAACUGAAGCAUCCCUCAUACCCCUUCAAAUAUCUUACAAACAUAUGAUAUUAUAAUUAUAAAUAACUUUAAAUUAAAUUAAAAAUAAAAAUCCAUUACACCCAUUUUUUAAAAUUUGUAUUUCGUUAACCAUUCCAAUACUUUAAUUUAUCAAUUUAUCAAUAUUCCCCGUAAACUUUAGUUUGGAAAGACUGACGCUAAAAAAAAGUUCUAAAUUUAGAUCUAAUGGUUUCAGUCUUAUUAAGUAUAGCAUUAAAAUUAGAAAUAAUUUAAGUUUUUAAAUUCGAGUCUAUAGUUCAUAGUAAUUAUGAAUAAUUAAUAAAAUUAUUAAUAACUAAUAGAUAGUUAAUAAAUAGUGAUAAAUACUAAAACUAUACAUGAACUAUGGGUUAAUGUGUAAUUAUAUACAUAAAAUUUUGAUCUGAUCCAAUUCUUGUCAAGUAUUAAAAUAAUUAUUGAUAUAACAUCAUUUUUUAUUUAUAAAUUGAUAUAUUUACUUUUUUAAAUGUAUAAGAUUAAAACAAAAUUAAACUUUCAAGUAUACAUUUAAACCACAAUUAGAAUUUCACGUGUAUAAUUGCAUCAAAUUAAAAUUCAUUAAUAAUUAUAUAUUAAAUACUAAUUUAUAUAUAAUUUGAUAUUUAUCCCUAAUAGACAAUACGGUAAUAAUUAAACAAAAUUUCUUAUCAUUUGAGCCCACUUAGCUCAAAGGUUGAAGCAUCAUGUAUAAAAAAAGACAACUUAGAUGCUAAUAUUAAAUUCUUUUAAUUAAUAUUUUAUUAAUUAAAGUAUUUAAAUUUUUUUUAUUUUUUGGUAAAUUUAAACAUUUGAGACAAAAAUGAUGUAUUAAUUAAUUAAACUAUUCAAAAUUCCAUAGCAUUGUUUAAAUGUUUUCUUUUAUUUUCUCAGCGAAAGUCCAGUUUAUUAAGCAUAUAUAAAAAAAACAAUGUUCUAAAACUGUAAUAGAAAACCGUAAUGAAAUCAGCGUCAUGCAUUGAAGCAAGUAAUUUUGUACACUCUGAUCCACCGGCAAAUUCGGCGACAUAUUCACUGACGAGGCACGAGAAUGGCACUUGUCGACGGCAGCAUUGACUAAGUCUAGUGGGGUCUUGGUAGUAGAGUUGCCGUGGGGAGAUUGGUUGAGAAUGCAGAAAGCUGGUUUACUGGACUAGGAAGUACACCAUGAAUUUGCUAGAACUAGCGGUGCAACUAAAACUGUCAUCAAGCUUAUUCAUUUUCAAACUGACAAAAUUACAUUGCAACUAAAACUGAAAACUUGUUAAUGUAGCAUGCACAAGAGCUGCAACAUGCAAAUAGACUGCAUGCACUUCAACAAAAAGGGAGGAGAAAUGAAAACAGAAGGAAAGGGGUAUUCUUCAUUGUUUCUGAGUGGUAAAAGUGAGGAUGAAGAUGAUUAGAUUUUAUAAGGAUGAAGAUGAUUAGAUUUUAUAGAGAGCACUAGUAGUCUAGCAAACAAACUAAAUUUGGGGUAAUCGAGAGCCGAGCUUGAAUAAUAGUAAGUUCAAUUUGAAGGGGCUCAAUACUCAGUUCAAACUUGAUUGUACAUUAAUUUUUAAAUUUAAGUUUUGACUUGAAAUAUAAUCAAGCUAUUUGAGCUUAAGUUUAAUUGAACUCGUUCGUAUUUAAACUCGAGCUCACUUGCACUAUUCAUACGUAAGGUUUUUAGGUGCGAAUGCAUACAUCACGAAAUAGAAGUUACCAAAUGGGAUGUGUGUUGUUGAUUGGCAGCUGACUUAAAAGAUAUUUUGAAUAACACUCGUUGCAGUGUAGUAAAUUGAGUAACUUAAUGAACAAAAGAGACAAGUUUCUUCUUUAUUAAUGUCAGGCCUUGAUUGGUUUACAUGGUUACUGAAGUCAAAUUUAGCAAGCAUGUUAGUAUCUCAAGGCUGCAACUAUUUUUAAAAAAAGUAAGACUAAGUCCUAGGGAGAUUUGUUAGCUUGUAAGUUGGAGUAGGAGUUGUUAGCUUCUUAGUAGGAGUAACAAUUUGAAUUUUUGUUGAGGUUGUUACUUGAGACUUGUAUAUAAGGGCUGCAUUGGUAAUGAAUUAAAUCAUCCCUUUAUUUCAUCUUUUGUUCUAUACUUCAAUUAAGUCUUUGCUAAACCAACAGUGGUAUCGAGAGCCAUUUUUCUUGAGGGACUUGUGAGAAAAGUUUUGUGAGAGUUCUGAGAGAAAAUUUGAGAGAUACACUUGUGAGGUUUUUGUUGGAACAUUGGCAGCAUGUGUCAACCCGAUUUGCAAGCAGAACCAAGUGAGAUUGAAGCAGAAAAAGAAAAACAAAACAAAGCAAUAAACAAGACUUGAAUACUCAGCAAAUGUAACUGAACAACUUGCAAUUUUCAUUCAAAAUUUGAAAACAUAUAUUGGAGUUAAAAUUUGGCAUAGUUGACAGUUACCUAAUGAUAUAACUGCUCCCACUUAAACUAAACUAAUACAAGCUUAAGUCAAAUACAAAAAUAAGCUGACAUAUCAGCUUUUACAUCAAAAUCCCAUCACUAACAUAAUCCUACUAACUUUGUAAGUAAACUAAAGUUGAACCAAACUAAAUUACAAAAGAACUGAAUAUGCUAAGUUGGUUGCUUCAUUCGGUUCAAAUUUAAUCUUGUGCACCAAGCAAUGUUGCCAAGCUCGAUGACUGCAAUUCAGUUGCUUUGCUGCUGAUCUCGACAGUAACUGGCUGCUGGCUCCAUGUUGCAUUGCAGUCCAGCUCUCAACACUCCUCCUUGGACUGUAUGCAACACAUACCAAUUGUACUUCUCAAUGAUUCAAAUCGAGCAGCUCCUUAGGGCUUGGUUAAUAUGUCAACCAAUUGUUCCCCUGAGCUACAAUGGACAAGGCUGACUUCCCUUGUUUGUUCAGCUUCUCGAACAAAAUGCAACUUAAUCUUAAAGUGCUUAGUUUUACCAUGGAAUACAGGGUUCUUAGCUAUAGCAACUGCUGACUGGUUGUCCACCCAAAUUUCAGUUGCUUCAGCUUGAGUUUCAUUAAGGUCUUGAAGCAAUUUCCUGAGCCAAAUGGCCUGAUUAACUGCAGCUGCAACUGCAAUGUACUCUGCUUCAGCUGUGGACAGAGAACAGUCUGUUGCUUCUUUGAACUCCAGCAAAACAUGCCUGAUCCAAGUGUGAAGAAGUAUCCAGAGGUACUCUUCAUGUCAUCGAGGGAUCCUACCCAGUCACUGUCUGAGUAACCUUCUAGUCUCAGCUCCUUUCCACCUUCAAACAUUACACCAAAGUUUGCUGUGCCUUUGAUGUAUCUAAGAACCCUCUUAGCAGCCUUCAAAUGAGCUUCAUUACAGCAGUGCAUGAACCUCGAUAGCAAACUGACACCAAACAUGAUGUCUGGCCUAGUUGCUGUUAGAUACAACAGACAACCUACUAGGCUUCGAUAGUGCCUCUCAUCAACCCUUUGCUGAUCACCACAGCUGGUCAAUUUUUCACCCUGAGGUAGUGGUGUACUUACAGUUUUACAGUUUUGCAUGCAAAAUUUACCAAGGAUCUUCAAGGCAAAUGUAUGUUGGCUGAUGAAUAUGCCUCGAUCAGAUUGAUGAACUUCCAUACCAAGGAAGUAUGUCAUAAUCCCCAAAUCUGUCAUCUCGAACACUUGCUGCAUUUGAACCUUGAACUCAUCAAUGAGCUCAACUUUGCUCCCUGUCACUAACAAAUCAUCCACAUACAAGGAAACAAUCAGCAAGGUCUCAUGUUCUGACUUCUUAACAUAAAGUGUAGGUUCACUAGGACUUUUCACAAAUCCAAGCUUGGACAAGUAACUAUCAACCCUGUCAUUCCAGGCCCUUGGUGCCUGUUUCAGGCCAUAAAGGGCCUUUCUCAGCUUGUACACUUUGUCUUCAUGUCCAACAACUUUAAAACCUUCUGGUUGCUCAAUGAAGAUCUACUCCUUGAGAAAGCCAUUCAGAAAUGCUGAUUUCACAUCUAAUUGAUGAACCCUCCAAUGUUUCUGAGCAGUUAAGGCAAACAUAAGCUUGAUCAUGUCCAGUCUUGCUACUGGAGCAAAUGUCUCCAAAAAAUCAACUCCAUAUUGCUGACUGUAGCCUUUCACUACAAGCUUGGCCUUAUGCUUAUUCAAAGAGCCAUCAUCAUUGUAUUUGGCUCUAUACACCCACUUAACACCUAUGACUUUUUUGUGUUCUGGUCUGUUCACCAAUUCCCAUGUCAGAUUCUUGUUAAUCAUUUCCAACUCAGCCUAUAUAGCUUUCAUCCAAUUCCUAUCUUUGGCAGCCUCCUCGAAAUCUGUAGGCUCGAUCACAACAACACUACACCUCUGAUAAACAUCAGUCAAAGUUCUGGUGCCCCUCACUGGUGUAUCAUCAACAGCAUCAUCAUUUGGUCCCUCUUCUGUAGGCUCAAUAACCAAGUCCAUCUGAUCCAUUUCAGACAUGUCUGCCCCAACACCAUUCCAGUUCCACACCUUUUCUUCAUCAAACUUCACAUCUCUACUGACUAGAACCUUUUUUGCUGAAGGAUCAUACACUCUAUAACCUUUCUUGUUGCUGCUAUAGCCAACAAAGAUUCCUGGAAUAGCCCUGCUCUCGAGGUUGGCUCUCUUUUCCACUGGAACAAGAGCAUAGCACACACAACCAAAAACAUUCAGGUGUGUGACCAUUGGUUUAACUCCAUGCCAAGCCUCAAAAGGUGUUUUAUCCUUGACUGCUCGAGUUGGCAGCCUAUUGAGUAGGUAUACUGAGGUGUUGACAGCCUCAGCCCAAAACUGACUUGGAACCUUGCUUUGAAAUAACAGACACCUGGCCAUGUUUAGCACAGUUCUGUUUUUCCUUUCACUAACUCCAUUCUGUUAGGGAGUAUAGACUGUUGUAAGCUGAUGGUGAAUCCCGGCAUUGUCACAAAGCUUCUGAAAUUUAUCAGACACAUGCUCUGACCCAUUAUCAGUCCUUAAGGCUCUAAUUUUGCAGCCAGACUAGUUUUCAACAUAUGCCUUGAAUUUGCAGAAGGCCUCAAAUACCUCUGAUUUCUGCUUCAAGAAGUAGACCCAACAUAGCCUUGUUAGAUCAUCUAUAAACAGGACAAAAUACUCUUUUUAUAUAAUAUUCGGGUGGGGAUGGGAGUCAUAUACUUUGAACUUGUGUUAAACGGGUACUUGAUAAAAAAGUUUAAUCAUCAUUCCACGUAAGUCGUUUUAUACAUUUGGUUAUAAGAAAUCGUACAUAUUUUUGUUAUGUCAUAUAAAAGUAUACAUGUUAUAUGUUUUGAUUGACAUUGAAUCAUCUAAUUUUUAAUAGAAAUGGUGAGUUGUAAAUUUAAAGGGGUUGUUUUACUAUUUAAAUAAUGAAUUUAACCAUUUAACAUCUAAUGAGUUACUUAGAAUUUCUUUCUUUGGUUGAAAUUGAUUAAUUUCAAUGAAAUAGAUGCAAAUGACCAAUUAAUAAGAAGAUAAAUUUAAAAAAAAAAAGCAAAUUGGGAGGCCAGAAGCGAGCCUUAGAUAUAUAGCAAACAAUCACUUCAUUCAAAGCUCAUACUAUAUAGCAAUCUAAUUCUUAUAAAAAAUACGUACACACACUUCAUGAAAUUAGAUAUCUUGGCAAUAUGCAUUCCAGUGCUGAUUAGAUAAACUGCAUCAAGAAGAAAAAUGGUAUGUACAUAUCAUCAUCUCUUAUGUAUAAUAAUUAAAAAUAUGAAAUAAUAAAAUGAUAUUAAAAAUUUAGUUUAUCUAGAAAAAUAUUCAAAAUUCUUAUUUUUUUAUAUUUUAAUUAUAAUUUUUAUGGUAAUUGAAGAUAUAUUCUUCUAUUCUGUUAUUUUAUCAAUAUUAUAUCAAUCUCUAACUCUAUGGGUGAAAAAGAAAAGAAAAAAGAAUGUAAAAAUUAUUAUUUUAUAGAAAUAAAUACCUCACGUGAUGUUGGCUCCUAUUAUUUUGGGAUCAAUUUAUAAUGUGGAUGGAGGGAAUGUGGCGCACUUUAUAGAAAUCCUCUCCUUCUCUUCCAUCUAUCACUUUAAUCCUUUCUUCCAAUGACGAAGGCAUUAGCCUUAAAUUCGAUUCUUCGAGAGUAGUAAUGUACCUCAAUCCUUCUGGAAGCAUCCUUAAACUCUCAACCUUGACCAACUCCAAUUCUCGAAGGCAUGGCAUUGCACCUUCUUCUAUUUCCCACUCCUCCAACUCAAAUAACGAAGACAUUUGAAGAUAAUCAAGUUUAGGAAAUCCAUUUUCAGAGCACACCAUUUUACUCCCAAUAUAUGCUCUUUUCAAAUGGAGAAUCCUCAAAUGACAUAGCUUUUCUAAUACCGCCAUUGGAUCUUGGCUCAGCUCACAGUCAACCAAAGUUAAUUUGACAAUAUUUGAUGGAAGAAAUUUCAAAACAUGACCGUUCGGAUGUGGCUCAUCUUUUAUCGGACCCAGUAAUUUCAGUUUGGAGAGGUGAUAAUAUUGAGAAAGGGGUUCUAAGUCUAGGUGUGAGCCAUCAGAAAAACGUAAGGACACUGACCUAAGGCGUUGCAAUUUGGCUAGCAAGAUUAGGGUAGGCUUCACAUAUUCUGCUCUGGUAAAUGCUAUUCCUAAACUCUGAAUAUUAGUCCACCUAAGCACCGCAUUAUUUUCAAUCGCCUUCUCAUCCACCUCUAUGAACUUCAAAGUUUCAAUAUUUUUUGAAGUGAACCCUUACCGCCAACGAAAUCCAUCUACGUGGAAUUUCUCAACCGAUUUUAUUACAAUAUGCCUUAAACGUUCCAACUUAAACACACCAUCUGGAAUUACAAUGUCAUCACAAAACUUGAUGUAUAAAGUGUAAAGAUUCUUCAACCUGCCAAAAGAUCGCGGCAAAAUCAUUUUGUAAUUGUAGUAUGUUGCGGAAAGGAUCGAUUCGAGAACUCCGAUAUGACUACAAGUAAAUUGACCGGAACGAAAAAUAAAGUGAACACAAGGAUUUACGUGGUUCGGCUUUAAUGCCUACGUCCACGAGCAGAGGCGAAAAGAAAUUUCACUAUAACAAGAUGAAGAUUACAAGUGUUUUACACUCAAGACACAACCCGAGAACCUCACAACUCUCAACCCCUAUAGAAAACCCGAAAGCUAAAAUCCUAGCUUUCAAAGAACAAGCUUUGCUCUCUCUUGGUUUGGGAUGAUCAAUAUGGCUAAUGAACCUCUCUAUUUAUAAGAGAGUUCAAGGACAUAAUUGUCCAAAACUUUGGCAAAGAUUUGUGGUUGAAAAUGGACACCAACAACCAUCCACUAAACCACUACCACCAACAACCCACUACCAACAACAACAAUCCACUACCAAUUUUAAGCCAUUUCUUAACAAAUCUCCACCUUGGCUUGAAAUUUACCAAGCUGAACAUCAUAGUGAAUUCCUCGAACUGGAUCACCUCUUCCAAACGCCUCUCUGGCGCUAAUCAAUCCCGAAUACCUAUCAAGUCCAAGCAAUGCUUGAACUUAUAUGCAGGGAUCACCUUAGUUAACAUAUCUGCAGGAUUCUUCUCGGUAGCAACCUUGCUGAUAACAAUGUCACCUUGCGUAACAUGUUCCCGAACAAAAUGAUAUCUGACAUCAAUGUGUUUGGUCCGUUCAUGAAACAUCUGAUUUUUAGUCAGAUGUAUGGCACUCUGGCUAUCGCAAAAUACAACAGUGAAAUCCUGUUGUAAACCCAAACUGCUUACUAGACCUUUCAUCCACAAUGCUUCUUUCACUGCUUCUGCUAACGCCAUAUAUUCCGCCUCAGUCGUAGAUAAGGCUACGGUAGACUGUAACACAGCUUUCCAACUAAUGGCUCCUCCAGAAUAAGUGAAAACAUAACCCGUCAGAGAUCUUCUUUUGUCCAGAUCUCCAGCAUAAUCAGAGUCCACAUAGCCCGUGACACUGCUAGUGCAGUCACUCUGAUCAUAUACCAAGCAUAAAUCUGCAGAACCUCUCAAGUACCUGAGAAUCCAUUUCACGGCCUGCCAGUGUUCCUUGCCAGGACAACUCAUGUAUCUGCUGACCACACUAACUGCAUGUGAAAUGUCUGGACGAGUGCAAACCAUUGCAUACAUCACGCUUCCAACUGCACUCGAGUAUGGAAUGUGAGACAUUUGCUGCUUUUCUUCAUCAGAUUGUGGUGACAACUCUGCAGAGAGUUUGAAAUGUGGUGCCAACGGAGUACUCACAGUUUUCGCUUUAUCCAUGCCGAAGCGUUGAAGAACCUUUUCAAUGUAGUUCUUCUGCGACACACGAAGCUUGCCCGCCUUGCGAUCUCUGUGAAUAUCCAUGCCCAAAAUUUUCUUGGCAGCACCCAGAUCCUUCAUCUCGAACUCACCACUCAACUGCGACUUUAACUUGUUGAUUUCCGACAUGUUUUUGGAAGCAAUUAACAUGUCAUCAACAUACAGCAACAAAUAAAUGUGCGAACCAUCUGAGAGCUUCCGAUGAUAGACACAAGCAUCAUAGUCACAUCUUGUGUAACCAUGCUGAAUCAUGAAGCUAUCAAACCGCUUGUACCACUGCCUUGGGGAUUGUUUCAAUCCAUAUAAAGACUUCUUUAAUAGACAGACAUGGUCUUCUUUACCAGGAACUGUAAAACCCUCUGGUUGACGCAUGUAGAUUGUUUCCUCGAGCUCACCAUGCAAGAACGCCGUUUUUACGUCAAGCUGCUCAAGUUCUAGAUCAGACUUGGCCACCAUGGCAAGUAAUACACGAAUGGAAGAAUGCUUUACGACUGGGGAGAAAACUUCAUUGUAGUCAAUCCCCUCUUUCUGAGUGAAGCCUUUAGCAACCAAUCGUGCCUUGAAUCUAGUUGCUUCAACCCCUAGGAUGCCUUCCUUUUUCUUGAAGACCCAUUUGCAACCAACUAUCUUCUGGUUACUUGGCGGCUUAACCAACUCCCAAGUAUGGUUCUUGUGAAGAGAUUCUAUCUCCUCACUCAUAGCAAUUGCCCACUGUGCCGACUCAUCACACGUGACAGCCUCAUUAUAACUGGAAGGUUCUAUACCAAUGGACUCCGCCACACUGAGCGCGAAAGACACCAGAUUAGCGUAACGCGGAUUUGGUUUGAUUUGUCUCUUCGUUCUUCCAGUGGCAAUGCUAUAUGGUUUUUCUUGAGGUGACUCAUCUUCAUCGGAAUCUUGCACCUCAACUUGAUCAUCCUGGACUGAAGUACCUUCCAUAGGAAUUGGAGCGUCCACCUGACACUCCACCUGCUUCUCAACACCGUGAUCUCCCAUUCUAUCUGACUCCUCCUUUUCCCGGGAAUUUGUGGUGGAUCGAAGCAUGGAUGACUCAUCAAAAGUCACAUCUCUGCUGAUGAUGAACUUGGACGAAACCGGAUCAGGACACCACAACCUGUAUCCUUUCACCCCUUGGCCGUAUCCAAGAAAUAUGCAUUUCUUCGCCCUCGGUUUGAGUUUUCCCUCAUUUACAUGAGCAUACGCAGGGCAGCCAAACACUCUUAAACCAGAGUAAUCAGCAGGAGAACCAGACCAUACUUCCUCAGGAGUCUUCAGCUCAAUAGCUGUUGACGGAGAUCUGUUAACCAAAUAACAAGCAGUAUUAACAGCUUCAGCCCAAAAUUCUUCACCGAGCCCAGCAUUUGAUCGCAUGCAACGAGCUCGCUCCAAGAGAGUUCUAUUCAUGCGUUCUGCAACUCCAUUUUGUUGUGGUGUUCGACGAACAGUGCGGUGUCUCACUAUUCCUUCAUUUUUGCAGAACUCAUUGAAUUCACCUGAGCAAAACUCCAAGCCAUUAUCCGUCCGGAAUCGCUUGAUCUUCUUUCCUGUUUGAUUUUCGAUCAAAGCUUUAAAUUGCUUGAAGUUGAUGAGAACCUCAUACUUGCUCUUCAGAAAAUACACCCAAACCUUUCUCGAGUAAUCAUCGAUAAAGGUAAGCAGAUAUCUGUAACCACCUUUAGAAAUUGUCGGAGAAGGCCCCCAAAGGUCAGAAUGGAAGUAAUCCACUGUGCCUUUUGUCUUGUGAAUCCCAGUGCUGAACUUUACCCGAGUCUGCUUACCGAAGACGCAGUGCUCACAGAAAUUCAACUUUCCUGUACACUGCCCAGACAAUAAUCCUCGUUUGCUUAGCACCGAUAAGCCUCUCUCGCUCAUAUGCCCGAGCCGCAUAUGCCAUAACUUCGUGGUGUCAGAAUCUAGAUCAUCUGAUGAUGACACUCCCGCAACACCUGUAACCGAGGAACCAUCGAGGAAGUAAAGGCCCCGCUCCAAAUUACCACGUAUCACAGUCAAAGCACCCGAGAAUACCUUGAGAACUCCACCUUCAGCAGAGUACCGAAAGCCUUUCUUGUCCAACGUACUCAAAGAGAUCAAAUUUUUCUUCAUUUCUGGAAUGUGCCGAACAUCAGUUAGAGUUCUAACAAUACCGUCAAACAUCUUUAUACGAACUGUGCCAAUCCCCAUGACUUGACAUGCGUGGUCAUUUCCCAUUAGUACUGAACCAGAAUGCUUCUCGUAUGUUGAGAAUGCAUCUUUCGAAGUACUUAUAUGAAAUGUAGCUCCCGUAUCAAGAAUCCAUCUCCCACCAGCGUAAGAGUCGGAUACUGCAAGAACGAUCUCGGCAUCACUUGAAGAAUCUGCAUCAGCUACAUUCGCACGAUCAUUUUGUUGCUCCUGUGAUUCUGAUUUCUCCUUCCUUUUCGGACAAUCUACCUUCAUGUGCCCGUACUUCUUACAGUAGUAGCACUGUAUUCUCUUCUUGGACUGCGAUCUAGGAUGGCUUUUACUUGAACUUCCACCCUUUGCCUUGGAUCUUCCUCGAGCAACCAAGCCUUCGCCUUCAUUGUUUUCGACCACCUUACCAGUGAUUUUCUUCCUCAACUCACUGGAACUUAAGGCAUUUUUCACCUCCUCUAGAGUCAGGUCAUCACGACCGUACAUCAUUGUAUCAACAAAAUUCUCAUACGAGGGAGGCAAAGAACACAAAACAAUUAUUGCUUGGUCCUCAUCAUCGAUUUUGUUAUCGAUAUUAUUCAAAUCCAUGAUAAUGGAAUUGAAUUUAUCCAGGUGCUGGGAAACAGGUGUACCUUCCUCCAUCUUCAGGGCAUAGAGUCUUUGCUUGAGGUAGAGCCGGUUCGUCAAUGACUUCGUCAUGUACUUGCUCUCUAACCGGAGCCACAAACCGGACGCGGUUUUCUCAUCCGCUACUUCUCGUAGCACUUCAUCUCCUAGACAUAGCAGAAUAGCACUAUGUGCUCUUUCUAGCAUGUCAUCCUUUUGCUCUUCCGAAAGCGUGCUUGGUAAUUUAUCUUUACCAGACAAUGCUUUUAGCAAUCCUUGUUGAACCAGCACUGCCCGCAUCUUGAUGCGCCAUAAACUGAAACUAUUUUUCCCGGUAAAUUUCUCGACAUCAUACUUAGUCGAUGAAACACUUGUAGCCAUAAUUUGGAACCUUUGAAUGAAUGAUAAUAUUUUCUUCCUGAUGUGAAAGAUCAGACAAAGCUGCAGUCACAGGGCAAUUCAGAAAAUAUUAUCACUCCUUCAACUACGCUCUGAUACCAAUUUGUUGCGGAAAGGAUCGAUUCGAGAACUCCGAUAUGACUACAAGUAAAUUGACCGGAACGAAAAAUAAAGUGAACACAAGGAUUUACGUGGUUCGGCUUUAAUGCCUACGUCCACGGGCAGAGGCGAAAAGAAAUUUCACUAUAACAAGAUGAAGAUUACAAGUGUUUUACACUCAAGACACAACCCGAGAACCUCACAACUCUCAACCCCUAUAGAAAACCCGAAAGCUAAAAUCCUAGCUUUCAAAGAACAAGCUUUGCUCUCUCUUGGUUUGGGAUGAUCAAUAUGGCUAAUGAACCUCUCUAUUUAUAAGAGAGUUCAAGGACAUAAUUGUCCAAAACUUUGGCAAAGAUUUGUGGUUGAAAAUGGACACCAACAACCAUCCACUAAACCACUACCACCAACAACCCACUACCAACAACAACAAUCCACUACCAAUUUUAAGCCAUUUCUUAACAUAGUAUAACUUCAAGUAUCUCAAAUGUUGGAGAUUACCAAUUUCAGUCGACACACGCCACCACUUAUUGCCCCAUUUUGCAAGAGUCAACACCCUUAAAAAUUUGAAGCUUCUGUAUUUUGAAAUGCAUAAAUCUGGCCAUCCCUCCUUCUGAGAAAACAACAAAGAGCGUAAUUUUGGAUGCUCUCCCUUAAAAUUCAAAUAAUAUAUCUCUCCACUAGGAUGAAUAGCAAUUCUUCGUAGCAUAGAUUAUGCCAAUGUCACUCCAGGUACAAGCGGUGGAUGUUGAAUAAUUUCCAAGAACUUCUGCUCCCUUGCUUUCUUCGUGCACAAGUCCCUCAAGAGAUCAUGUACUCGACAUGUCUCCACAUUUGUUCCUGUAUAGUCUCGCCUGCUAACUUGAACCAAGCUCCUAUCUAU